AGCAGUGUGGCUCAGUGGAAAGAGUGCAGGCUUGGGAGCCAGAGGUCAUGGGUUCUAAUCCUGGCUCUGCCG
rnacentral:tRNA from 1 species